rnacentral:lncRNA from 13 species
GCUGGCUCCUGCCGGGGUGUGGGAGGGGGCCCCAGGGUGCUGGUUACCCUGGGAAUUGGUGAUCCCGACGUGCAGGUCGGAGUGCCCGUCGUAGCCGCUGCAAGAGGAGCAGAGGGGCUGCUGAGGGACAGAACGGCCCCGCACGGCUCCACCGACACCUGGAAAAGGGGCUGCAUUCCCAGAACGGGCGGGAUCCCCCUUCCUGCACCGUCCCUUCCCCUUCCCCUUGUCUUCCCCUUCCCCCUCCUGCCCCAUUCCCUGCCCGUUCCAUUUUCCUUCCCCUUGCGUUCCCCUUCUCUUUCCCUUUCCUUCCCUUCUCCUGCCCUUUGCCCUCCCCAUUCCCAUUCCCUUCCCUUUCUUCUUCCAUUUCCCUGCCCUUUUCUUUCCCCAUUCCCUCCCAGUGACCUCCUUUUUCCCCUCCCCAUUCCCCUUCCCUCCCUAUUCCCCUCCCAUUCCCAUUCCCUCCCCAUUCCCCUUCCUUCCCUUUUCCCCUCCCAUUCCCAUUCCCUCCCCAUUCCCCUACCAACCCUAUUACCCUCCCAUUCCCUAUUCCCUAUUUCCCAUUCCCCUUCCCUCCCUAGUUCCCUCCCAUUCCCUAUUUCCCUCCCUAUUUCCCUUCCCAUUCCCCAUUUCCCCUCCCUAUUUCCCCUCCCCUCCCUAUUCCCCUCCCAUUCUCCUUCCCUCCCGAUUUCCCCUGCCAUUCCCUAUUUCCGCACCCAUUCCCUAUUUAUUUCCGCUCCCACUCCCUAUUUCCCAUUCCCCAGUUCCCCUCCCAUUCGCCAUUCCCCAUUUCCCAUUCCCUAUUUCCCAUUCCCCAUUUCCCAUUCCCUAUUUCUGCUCCCAUUCCCUAUUUAUUUCCGCUCCCAUUCCCCAUUUCCCAUUCCCUAUUUAUUCCCCAUUAUUUCCCAUUCCCCAUUAUUUCCCAUUCCCCAUUAUUUCCCAUUCCCCAUUCCCCAUUAUUUCCCAUUUCCCAUUGUUCCCCAUUCCCAUUCCCCAUUAUUCCCCAUUCCCCAUUAUUUCCCAUUCCCAUUUCCCAUUCCCUAUUUAUUCUCCAUUAUUUCCCAUUCCCCAUUAUUUCCCAUUAUUCCCCAUUUCCCAUUAUUCCCCAUUCCCCAUUAUUCCCCAUUAUUCCCCAUUAUUCCCCAUUAUUCCCCAUUCCCCAUUAUUCCCCAUUCCCAUUCCCCAUUAUUCCCCAUUAUUCCCCAUUAUUCCCCAUUAUUCCCCAUUAUUCCCCAUUAUUCUCCAUUCCCAUUCCCCAUUAUU